CUCAAUAUUAUUAAGAAAAUGAUGUUAUUAUCCUUACAAAAAGUAAGAUAAGAAAUCUGAAGAGUGCACUAGAACAAUUGUCUUUCCCUUAAGUUUCUUUAGUGGUUUUAGGGCUUUUUAUGGAUUAGAGAUUGCUCUGAUACAUUCUUAAUAAUCAAAAGCAAUAUUGCAGAACUCUGUUCCAGAAUAAAAAACAGCUUGCCUUAAAGACUGUGAGAUUUCAGUAAUAGCAGCAGAACAUUCCUAAUAUCUAUUCAAAAUUCCUAUCUUUCAGGCAACACUUUUACAGUAUUUGAAAGGUUUGCUGCUGCAAAGAUGGCAGACUGAAAAUUUGAAGCUAAGUAGCUCUUUAAAGGGAAAGAAGAUAUCGGUAUUCCUUUACAUCGCUUUGGUGUUUAGAACAGAACAACAGAAAUACGGAUCAGAUGGCUCCAAGCACGAAAUGAUAAGUGAAGCAAUGAAAGACACAGCACCCAGUAGUAAUUCUAGACCAGGGCUAUGAUGUGGAAUGGUAAAAAUGAAAGGCCUGGCUGAGGUGAGGGAAGCUGCUGCUUGGUGACUGGCUGAUCAUCAGUGGCAAAUGGUGAGCAUUGUGCAUCACUUGUUUUUUAUAUAUAAAAGCACAGUUGCUGUUAUUUUCAUUUUAUUGAUGUUACUGUAAUUAAUUGUUUCCCUUCUUUUUCUGCCCUGUUAAACUGUCUUAAUCUCAACUCGUGAGAGAUGAGCAAGAUCUAGGACAUGAUGUAUCUGAGCAAGCAGCUACUUGAGAAUGAAAGUCUUUGGUUUACAGAUUUAUUACAAACCUCAUUCCUUGCAUAUCUAUUCCAUUUUAGUGUGCAUAGAUUCUGUUGCUUUCUCUGCCAUUUUUUCCACAUAGGAAAUCAUGGAUGAUGAUUGUGAGGCUUUUUGUAGAACGACCUAUAGAUCUCCCAUGGUAGCAGUGGAAAUCUGAAAAUCUGCCUUAAUUUUAAGACUGACCCAUCUCUUCUAUGUUUUUUGCAGUUGUACUGGUUCUGACAUCUAUUUCGUAACCACUGAAACUAAAAUCCCUACUGUCUCAGACACCGCUUUUCUUUUUAAUGUUUUGUCAUUUUGUGUCUCCCUGAUAUGCUGCAAAACUAAUGAAAAUGUUUUCUUAGAAGUGCCGUCAUUUGGCACACACUUCAGUGCACUGAUUAUCUUUCUGGAGGGAAUUAACAAAUUAAAUGAGAUAUUUCCAAAAGUUUAGCUUGGUUGA